GAUCCAAUCACCCCGACCCCGUCGCCCCAAUGGCCGUCUCUCCCGAGAGGCAAGAGAAAUCGAUCCAAUCACCCCGACCCCGUCGCCGCCCAACGUCCAUGGCCGUCUCUCCCGAGUGGCCAAGAGAAAUCGACCCGCUUCCGCGGUUCUGCCCUACAGUCUUCGCGUCGUCCCGCGCCCAAGGGCGCUCUCCUCUACCCAAUCCUCCUCCCUGUCGAUUGUCUGUCGCCCCAUCCAUGGGCCUUUCGCCGUGCCCGUGAUGCGCCGCGUCCGGGACCGGCACAGAGCCUGCACAGGGUGGUAUGAGCGCAGCCAAUGCCUCCUCUCCACCCGUCGCCGGUGAGGACUCUUAAGGAUGGCUACUGAUGACGGCGAGGAGACCCAUCAGAAGUGGUGCAUGCGUGCGGCAUGCCAUUAGAGAAGAAAGGCUCAUGUAUGAAGAACGUUGGCACCAGCCUAUGUGCCACCAUCCGCAUAGAAGACGAGGUAGUGUUACCAGAUGCGUACACAGUUCAUGUGAAGUAACCCCUCAUUGCUUCGAUGCUGAUUCAGUGGAUUACCAGUUCACCACCACCGCCAUUGAAGACAUGGCGGUUGUUUUGUUUGUUCAGAUGCAGGUUCUCUUCUAGGCUUGGUGGUGAAGAAGCCAGCAACGUUGGUGCGCUGCAGCCUGCAGGUCAUAGAUGUGAAGAAGCAAGCACGAGGCCAUGCGGUCUAGCAGCAGGACACACAUGAAGGAGGCUAGGACUGAGUGCAGGCCUGUGACUAGGAUCAAUAGCAGGAGACAACGUCACAUCGUGGAUAUCAAGUUGUCAUGGAGGACAAAAAGAGGGGUGCAUUGCAAUCUAUAUUUUUCACUACUAAAUGUGUGACACAAUCUGUUGAGAAACACAUUUAGGUAUGCGUAGUAUACUUCAGUAUAUGCUCAUUUCAUCUGGAGGUACAAUCUCAACUUCUUGAAGCAACAUACAGUACCGGAGGGUGUAACUUUUGGACAUUUACGUCAAAACCUUGGAGAUGAUGGAUGCUCGGUGACUAGCUCUGCAUGCCUUCUAUGGGGUUCAAAAUUACUUUAUGAUGUUCAUCCUGCUAGGCUGCAGGGUCAUAGUGCUUCCAGUAUUUUUAAUUUUGAAUCAUAUAGUCAAUCAAUCAGUCAUGGAUCAGAUGGUUUAAUAAGUUUUUUUGCAUUUCAUAUGGUAGUGAUCGACAGAGGCUCUUUUGGUCCAAUCAGUGAGAGAUCAAAUAGCUUGAGCUUGCCAUACACAAAGCAAUAUGAUACACGCUUCCAACUACAGUGCAGACGCUCCAAAAAUCAGGCUACAUGCCAGCUGCAAACAAAUAUAAUAAAGUUGUUUGGGUGGAUCUGUUGUGGUGCUGCUUAGGUGGAUCUAAUCAAGACAACUAUUGAUCGUCUUCCAUUUCAACAGCAGCAAUGUGGGGUGUCACAUGUGGAGUAGGAGGUGUAAGAGAAGAUGGAGAAGGUGAUUAUUCUCGCAUUACAUUGAGUGUUGAGUGUGGGGUAUAUGGAAAUAUUUGAAUUGAAGACGAUCCGGUACCUGAGAUAAAUGAUCGAGGAGACGCAUGACUUGAAUAAAAAUAUUUGUGAGAAUAUGAAAUGAGGAAAUUACUAUUUCUGACCGA